rnacentral:misc_RNA from 1 species
GAAGAUACAACAGUGGCUCUCUGGGAACUUUAUCCCCCUAGAACAUGACAUUGUAUCGUUGUUGAUCCUCGUGGUGUUUGUAAUGAAUGGGUUAACGUCUGUAGUUUUGCAGCGCGAGAGUGAUCCCCAGAUGAGCAUAUGGAGUUGCUGGAAGAUAUUACUGAUCAUUAGAAAGAGAAGAGGACCUUAAGCUAUUUUUUGGCAAAUGGACACUUUGAUCCGGCCUUUCCCCAGACCCUGCAUAUAGCG